CGCUGCGUUCUGGGAUGACGGCGGGCCUCAUGAGCCCGAACCGCGGUGGUUCGAGUCCACUCGCAGCGA
rnacentral:tRNA from 1 species